GACGAACGCUGGCGGCGUGCCUAAUACAUGCAAGUAGAACGCACAGUUUAUACCGUAGCUUGCUACACCAUAGACUGUGAGUUGCGAACGGGUGAGUAACGCGUAGGUAACCUGCCUGGUAGCGGGGGAUAACUAUUGGAAACGAUAGCUAAUACCGCAUAAUAUUGAUUAUUGCAUGAUAAUUGAUUGAAAGAUGCUAUUGCAUCACUACCAGAUGGACCUGCGCUGUAUUAGCUAGUAGGUGAGGUAACGGCUCACCUAGGCGACGAUACAUAGCCGACCUGAGAGGGUGAUCGGCCACACUGGGACUGAGACACGGCCCAGACUCCUACGGGAGGCAGCAGUAGGGAAUCUUCGGCAAAGGACGAAAGUCUGACCGAGCAACGCCGCGUGAGUGAAGAAGGUUUUCGGAUCGUAAAGCUCUGUUGUAAGAGAAGAACGGGUGUGAGAGUGGAAAGUUCACACUGUGACGGUAUCUUACCAGAAAGGGACGGCUAACUACGU
rnacentral:rRNA from 1 species